ACCGGGGCCACUGAGCUUGAGCUGAGCAGGGAGUCAGACCAACCUGUUUCUGGAUGGGGCAGGAGCUCUAGAGCCAUUGCUGUUGCAAGAGACAGUUCACACAAGAGCCCAGGAGACUACGUUCCCAGCAUGUGAGCAUCUUCUUGGGGACCAACUGAGAAAGAGUUGGGUGAAGGUGGUGGUGUGAGGGGUCAUAAGUCUCCCCCAAAUUCAGUGUUGUUGAUGUCAUAGGGACCCUGUUGUAUUUACAAGGUAGGUAUAGCUGGGCAAAUAUAAGUGUAUCUUGUGCUCUGGAGACUUGGCAAAUAUUGUGAUUCACUUCCUAUUAUCUCUCGAGUGAAGGAAAGUCCCCAGAGGCCAGGACCCAAAGAGAUGAGUCCUAAUUUGGCCUAGGCACCUCAAAGAUGCAAGUCACCCACUUGAGAAAAUUGGGCACCUGAAGGGUCAUUAGCAGACACCAGAGGUCUGACCCCACACCUCUCUGCUGAGAAGAGGAACUGUAAUCCAGGAAGGGGAUCCUAUUCCUCAUCCAAAGGAGGAGCUUGGGGGAUGGGAGCAUUGGUGAGCACCAGCCUCAGAAAGAAAAGCAGAGAUGGAGAGCUUAGAGGAGCUGCCAGGGACUAUCCUAAAGAGGACCCAGCAUGGAGAGCCUAAGAACUUUGUGAUAUUUUAUACAUUUUGGAAGAAUACAUGUGUGGUUGUUUGUUGCUUAGUGAGGCCUGUGGGUUUGUCUUUGGGGUGGCAAAGUGUUAGAACACAAAGCCAUUCUCAGAAGAGGAACCUGUAAGAUCAACUGUGGGGCAGUAGUAUGAAAGAAUGCAAGUCCCUGGGCUGGGAGGGAAAUCCCAGUCCAGGUAAGGACUGACCUUGGGGCCUCUACUUCUUGGCAGAGGAAGGGCCAUGUUGGUCUGUAGCAGGUCCUUUAGGGCUGGAGCUCCUGAAUCUGCUCCAGCCUGUUCAUCCUAAGUAUUGCUGCUAUCUUGGUCAAGGACAUCACCAUUGCCUGGUAUCCCGGGUUAGAAAGUCAAGUUCCUUUUGUGAUGUAUCCUUUAGUCCAUAGAGAAUGAACUUGUAUUGACGUGAGUGUCCUGUGCACUGUGUUGGGGGCUUUACAGGUAUCUUUGCAUUCAAUCCUCUUAAUAACCCUGUGAGAUGGGCAUUGUUACUCUUGUUCAAGUAAUGAAAUUAAUAUUUUGCAAGUGGUGAAACUAGUGUUGAGAUUAAGUAACUGGUUCAAACUUAAACUAUGUCUGAUGUCAGAAGCCACAUUCUCUCUAUCCCCAUAUUGCUUCUUAGGGUUCUCUGCGUUUGUUAUCCUGCAAGAUCAGUGUUUCUGCAGGAAUGAUACCACAACUACCUGCCUCACAAUCACUUGGAAGCUUGUUGGGAAGAGUUAUGGACUGAGUCCAUAUCCGUGGAGUCAGAACCUUUGUGCAGUGCCACCCCUGGCCUUUCUAGAAAGUUUUCAAUAUAUUCCAAUGUCACUAAUGCCCAAGACCUUCAUGGGUGGCCUAUGACCAUCUCUAAGAUUCUGGGGAAUGCAUAGUCUCCAGAGAUUGUGGAGAUGGUCUGAUUUCAAGAAUUGAGUUGUUCUUGCCACCUGCUUGGAAUCCUUUUGUAAGAGAAGAAUGAAACAGGGGAGUCAAGGAUUGACCCUGCAUGACUGGUACUGUUAGGGUGACAAUAGUCAGAAUUGGAGCUGCAGUGUCACCCAGACAGGACAUUGGAAUCUUGGUAGCAAGCCACAAAGCAGGGACCUCUCCCACCUGGAUCCAUCCCACGUUUGCUGAUCAUAGUCACUAGUUAUAAAAGAUGUUAUAUAUGUUCAAGUUAGAUUUUGGGAACAUUUCAGAGUGAACUUUGAUCCACAGAGGAGGCCAUUGAAGCAGCUGCCAUUUUGAAAUGUUUAUUAUUUGUUAGGCACUUUGCAAAGUGCUGUGCCUGUAGCAUCUAUUAGCCUUAUGAGUUGGAUAUUAUUAUUCCAAUUUGUUUGGUACAGAAACUGAGGUUUGGACCUCAGUUAAAUAAAAUAAAAUAGUAAAUAAAAUAUAAAUAUUUUAUAAAUAAAUGAAGUCCCAUAGUUUGGGGCUGAGGAUGUAGCUCAGUGGUUAGAGCAUUCACCUAGUGUGUGUGAGGUCCUGGGUUCAAUCUUUAGUAGCACUAAGUAAAUAAAAGUCACAUAGCUUAUAACUGUUGGAGGCAGGAUCAAAUAUAGCCUAUGGUACUUGUUAUUCAGGAGCUGACUACCCAAGGAUACUAGGCCUCAGUGAAUCUGUCUCUUGAUAUUUUAGCUGAAUAAAUCAACCAAACUUUCAGCCAAUUGAUGUUCAUAUUAUAUUGAGCUAAGACUCUACUAGUUGCUGUAGGCCCCUCAACAGGGUAAAAGGAGAUAUCUGCUCCCCAAAAACAUAUUGUGUAAUUAAGAAAAUGACUAUUAUGCAAAAAACCCCCAAAACUCUGUAAUGACUCAAAUGGGCUUUUGCUCUGCAGUCCUGUGUGUGUGCAUGAUUUUUAGAGUGUGUGCAUGUAACAGUGUGUAAUGAGGAAGGCUGUGAGAUGAGAAGAAGGGCUAGGAGGAGGGGUGAGGGAAAGUGAUGUGGCUUCAGAACCUAGCCCCAAAGGCAUAGGGAACUCAGUGUCCUGCCCUGCUGGUGCGAUAAGAGAAUUCUCUGGGGAGGUCACAUGCAAAGUCAAGCAGGCAGCAUGUUAGUCUAUCUAGGGAGCUUUAAAAAGACACCAAGGCCUAUCUAAAGAUACUGAUUUAAUUGGGCCAGGCUGGGGAUCCCAGACAGACAAAUAGUUUUUGGAAGUCCCCUGUGAGACUCAUUAUGCGUCUUCAGACUGAGAACUGGCAAGGGCAUGCUUUCUGUGGCCCCCCUGGUUUGAAUGCCAGCCAUAGCUCUUUCAACAGACUUCUUGGUGCUGGGUCUCCUUGUUCUCUCCCUCGUGUGACCGAGAGGCUAGAUGACCAUGCAUUCGCCUGCUCAGAGAGGCCACCACCUGUUGCUGUAAAUCUGGUGUUUCAUCAUCUCUUUGCCCAUGUAUUUUCAGAGUCUUAUGAGUCCAUCUGGAUUGACAAGCUGUUGUUUUCUGCCUGGUAGCAGCUUGUACAGUCACAAGGGGAUGUGGUGUCAUCGGGACUGUGUCCUGUGGACACAGGCUGGGUGAGCAAUGUGAUAAUCACCUUUGCUUGUUAUUGACCAGAGUGGCUUGCACAUGGCUUCUCUUUUUAAAAUUUUUUAUUGGGUAAAAGUCUUGAACAGAUCACUUUUAUAAAGGCCUACUGAAUCCUAACCAAUGCAGGGGUAUUGCCCCUAUAGGGGCAUUUUGGUGAGAUCAAUCCUGGAGGAAAUGGUGGAGAAUCUUCCUAAAGUAACCUGAAAGAGCAAAUGUGUGGAAAGGAGGAGCUUCAUAGAUGGGUGCCUUAUGUUGCGUCUCUUCUUCUCUCCCUAUUGUAUAUGUUUUUUCUGAACCAUGUGAGAGCUAAGGGCAGUUGUCCAGAUCAUUUAUCCCUAAAUACUUCAGAAGUUUAUUUCCUACCAACAGCAUGUUAAGACAGUGGUUCUCAGUCUUGGGUGCACACAUUAAAAUCUAAUUGCAUAGGAGAAUCUUCUGGUGAGCUUAAAAAAAAAAGUCCCAGGCUAUACCCUGGGGACAACUGGGUAAGGGUCCAGGUCACGGGACCCAACACUGAUAUUUUUUAAAUCUUCUCAGAUGAUCCCAAGAUACAGCCAUGGUUAAGAACCCCUGAGUCAAGGAUAAGAGAGGCUUGAAAAUAAGAAGACACCUGAUAUGUUGCAAGGAAGAAAGAAGAGUCAGAAGGCAAGGUUGGGGAGUAGUCACAGACAACAGCUUUGGAGAGUAAUAGUUAAAUCCAGCCACUUCCAAGGACUUGGCUUAGCCUUAAGAAACCGAUGGCCAACCUCCAAACAUCCUCACAAUCCCCAGUUCAUGAGCCAUUUGUGUCAUGUGGUCCAGGGCACAUGUGAGGGCUGAUAAUGAGAACAGCACCCUGAUGCUUCUGUGCCCCUUACCCCAGGGAGAAAGGAAGGGGCUUCACGAUUCUCUAUGUAGUGAACGAUCCCCAUGGAGGAUUCUUCUGUGUAAUUAGAUUUUAAUGUGUGCACCCAAGACCACUGCCUUAACCUGUUGUUUGUAGGAAAUACACUUCCAAAGUGUUUAGGGAUAAAGGAGCUGGAAUUCUCCCCUUAACCCUCAUAUGGUUCAGGAAAAAAAAAAAAAAAAAUAUAUAUAUAUAUAUAUAUAUAUAUAUAUAGAGAGAGAGAGAGAGAGAGAGAGAGAGAGAGAAGCCAUAAGGCACCCAUCUAUGAAGCUCCUCCCUUCCAGACAUUUCCUCUUUCUGGUUACUUUAGGGAGACUCCUAAAGUAAUCUCACCAAACCUCCCCUCUCCAUAGGGGCAAUUCCCCUGCAGUGGUUAUAAUUCACUAGGUCUUUACAGAAAUGAUCUAUUGGAAAGUUUUCCCCAAAAAUCUGUCAGAAAAGAUUAGAAUGGUUCAAGGGCCGUGAAGAGUGUGAUGGUUCUCUGGGGACAGGCUGAGUAGCCCCCAUUUCUGCUUUCCUAGUUCUGUAAGUGACUGUGCACUGGUGCAUUGUUUGAGGUCUUAGGUGACUAGGUGUGGCCCUUUGGGCAGAAUAUGAGCAAUCAGCUGGGGAUGUUUUAAAAAACCUUUUCAUUUUGAAAUCAUUUCAAACUUAUAAAAGAGUUGCAAGAAGAGAACAAAGAAGUCAGAGACCAUCCACCCAGACCCGUUGCUGUGACCUCAUUUCUUUUGUCACUUCCUCCCUCUCUGUAUGUGUAUGUGUUUUUCCAAAUCAUUUGAGGGCUCGGGGCAGACCCUUUACCCCUCAACACUUCAGCAUGUGUGGCCAAUGGAUGGAGACGUUCUCUCUCAAUACCACAGUGCUGUCGAAAUAAACAAAGAGCAACCAAGUGAGAAAGGCAAAGGCUAUUUAUUCUGAGCUUGCUGUGGCAAGGAGUCAGAUACCACCACUUGCGUGUUGGCAGAGAUGCAGAGACAGGCAGGGCAUGAGGACGCUUCACUGGGGACCAAGGGGAAGGUGCAGGCAUGUCUUAUUGGAGGCUGUCUCCAUGGGGAUGCUCAAUGCGCCACGAGCAUCCUAGGUGAUUGGCUAGGGGGCAUUUUGACUUUCUCUGGUUGGUCCUAGGUUGGAGGAGGGGAUAAAAAUCAGGGAAGCUGUCAGUUAUUUAUCAAGUCUUAGCCAUUAGGUGUUGAUUGUUACAGAAUUUAUUGUUUCAUUUCCUGGAUUGUCACUAGAGAUGACUAUCUGGCUUCCUACCAGUUUAAAUUAUACCAGGCUGGCCUUUUGGGCUGAUUGUCAUGAAGGAUUGUUUUCUUGGAUAGGCUGUUGCAGGUUGUCUGUCCACAUUCCAUUUUUACAUAUGGUUUGGCCAUUGUCCAUUUGUCCAUUUGGUCUUUCAGUAUAAUAAUCAAGUUCAGAUUUCACUUUGGUUUAACACUGUUGUCUAAUACACACUCCAUGUUUGAAUUUUGCCAAUUGCCCCAAUCACGUCCCCCAGGGCAGUUUCCCCUCUCCACUCCCCAGCCCAAUAUGCAUCACACCUGGCAUUUGGUGGUCACAUUGUUUUCAUUUUCUUUAAUCUCAAACAGCUCCUCAGUCUUUGUUUUUCACGGCGCUGACAUUUUUGAAGCAUAGAGUCUAGUUGGGGUGGGGACACAUAUGUCUGUGUGGGUUGAGGAAAUACAGCCACAGCCAGUGCUCCUGUGUGUUCUGCUCCUUAAUUUUUGUCCUAAAGACUCUGGGAAUUGUUUGGGUUUAUGCAGCCCAGGUAACUGGAUAAUCAGCCUUGGUCGGGGACUCGGAAAGUCACGUCUACAUGCAGGGCAGAGGGCAAGCUUGUAAACAGAGAGUGGUACCCACAGUCACGUCCUUUAGCAGCUAAUCCUUCCCAAGGCCAAGAGAGUCUGUGAAAUAUGUUUUGGUUCCAAUUUUGGAAAUACGUUCUUUCAGGGACUCGGCCUCCCUCUGCAUUUUAUAUACAUAAACAUUGGCUCUUUCCUCUUCCUUACCUCUCCUUUCUUCCUCCCCCUGCUCCAGUUUCUCAUCUCUGCCAAGAUGCCAGAAACAUUUUCCAGGCCUUGAGUGGAGAUGGUCAGGGUGUUGCUCCUCUGGUGUGGGGUACUGUGGCAGCCAUGUGUCCUGAGAUGAUUGAAAUAGACCUGUGUUCUCUAAGAACAUCAGGGAGUCAAAGAAAGUUUUUGAUGUAAGGAUUGACCCAAUGCAAUUUGUGAUCCUUGACUGUAUUUUGGGGCAGAGAGGGAAAUUGUUGUUUAAAAAAACAAAACCCAUUUGGAAGCUGGCCUGCCCCUCUGAAGACAUUCACCCCUCAGUAACCUCAAGCUCCUGUCAAAGAGCAGAUUUCUGGGUCUGUCAACAGCCUGGAUUGCAGCUGAAAUCCGCUCUAUCUUCAUCCCUCUUAAUACACUGAGCAAUAACAAGUUUUUAUUUAUGGGCGAUUGAGCUAAAAUAAGUUUGCUAUGUGCAGUGGUUAAGAUUCUGGUGUUUGGUGUCAGAUUGUCUGGCUGAAAUCUUGGCUAUCUCACCGUGUGUCCCUGGGCACAUUGCUUCACCUCAGGUUCCUUUGCAGUGAAAUGAGGACAAUGUGAGCUGUUUCACAGGGUAGGAUGAGGAUGAAGAGUCCUGAGAAAUGAUGGCGUCCUGGUUGGCAAAUCACACGUUGUCAGAGAAUGUUUAUUGUUACUGAUACUUUGCUUACCACUGAAGUGGAAAGCUAAGACUCGUUUGAUACAGAUCAUUUCUUGGUGACUACUGCAGGAAGAGUAUGGGUUUUGGUGAGUCUCAAUGUCCCCUGUAUGUAGAAUGGGAAUGGUUAACAGUCAGGUGAGUUUGUUGUGAGAAGCCUGGAGGGUCUAUGCGAUGCAUCAUAACUGUAAGGACUGACCAAAUGCAAUUUGUGAUCCAGCACAGUGUGUUUUGGAGUGGAAGCUGAAGAAGAUACCUGGAUGGUUAUUUUUUCUCUUCUCUUUUUCUCACCCCUCCUGGCCCCACACGAGUAUCAUUUUUCAAACAGGAAAGUGAGCAGCUAUUUUGAUAGGUGUCAGGGAUUACAGUGUCUGAGGAUCAGUAUAACUGUAUCUAUUUACCAUUCAAUGGGCAUCCAUAAAGGUCUAAAAGCCUUUUACCAGGGCAGACUCCUUGUAGUUUUAAUUAAGGCCCAGCCAAGAAAAAAAAUGUGAAAUAAGAAAAAUAAGUUUUAUUUGGACCUUAUCUACUCCUCUUUCCUUUUGGUUUCUCCUGAAAGAAAGCCUUGUGCUUCCCAUGGCUUAGCCUGGUCUCCCAUCAACUUCUUCUCCCUUGGGAGACCACAUCUUUGAAAUCUUUCCUUUUUCAUUUCUCUACUUACAUCACUUUUUUUUUGUAAGAAGAUGGGCACAUGAAACUUAGAGGCUCUUUUGAGUUAAGUGUGUAAUGGUCAAAUAAUAUGUCACUACUUUUAGAGAAUUAUUUGUAUUUAAACAGAGAAUCCUAGAUACUUUAGGGUAGAGAGAAUUUCCAGGGUUUGAAUUCCUUAUUUUCCUGUGUGGUCAAACCCCACAGAACCUGGGUUAAGUUCAGCUCUUCUGAUUUCCCAUUCAGAUUCCUUCCAGUCUCAGGUGCCAAGGUGGGCAGGAUGGGAGAAGAGCGCCAGUCUCUUGGACUGGUUUAGUGCCCCUCCUGCUCCACAAAGAGCCACAGCCAAGGGCUAUGAUGUGCCUUCAACGAUACGUAGCACCGCAAUGGACAGUAACAGCUUGGAAGGGUAAGUUUCAGGUUUUCAUUUUUAAUUUAAUUUUGGGGGGUGAUUCAAUUUUCUAGAUUGAAAAAAAGUUUUGUUCACUUGUGCAGGAGAAGAGCAGAUACUAAGUUAUGGGAAAGGGCAUCUCUAUUCCAACAUCCAGUCAUGUCAUUUACACCUGUAGUAGGAAUUCUCUCUCCUCCCCUCAGUACUGGGGUUCUUCUUGGAUACCCAAGGGAGGACCUGGACUCCUCUGGGGCCUCUGUGUGUGCCUGCUGGAAAGACGGCGCCAGUACUAUUUCCACUGUAGGUCACCCUGGGGGAUGACUCCUAGGAGGGCCCUGGGAAAUGGUGGGAGUGGAGCUGAAGGUAGUCAUGACACAGUCACCCAUUACCGCUAGGGAAGGAUUGGUGAGGGGUGGGAAGAAGGGUCCCCAGGGAGCGGGAACAGGGAAAGAUAUGAUUUGAGGCAAGCAGAGAGUCAAUGAGAGAAAGAUGGGAGAAACAGGAGAAAACACGUCUUUGAAGAAAGAGGAGAAAACACACAUUCAUGAAUAAGCCACUUCUGGGUAGGGCACCUGUCGAAAGCCAUCCGUGGGCUGUGUGUGGACUCCCCCCGCAUUGUAGCCUUUGAAUAGGAAAAUCUGGUAUUCGGGGACUUCCCGUGGCAAUCCCACAGGAUCAGAUUGCCCAAAUACAUGUGAAUUUCUAUUCAGCUCUGCCUGGCCCCACACAGCAUCAGGUUUGGGGUGACCUGCUGCAGCCAUACAACCUGUCAGAGAUGGGUGUGACCUGCCAAGAUGCCAAUCAACCUGAUGACUGCAAGACAUCAGGAAGCAAGACUCCACCCCUGUAACCUUAUCCCUGCCUUUGAUGUACCCCCUCAAAUAAACCACGGAACUGGGAACCAUUCUCUAGUUGUCUAACUCCAACUCCUGGG
rnacentral:lncRNA from 1 species